ensembl:snRNA U6 U6 spliceosomal RNA
AUGCUCGCUUCCACACACAUAUAACUAAAAUUGGAAUGAUAAAGAGAUUAGCAUGGCCCCCAUGCAAGGAUGGUAAGCAAAUUCUUAAGCAGUCCAUAUUUUG